rnacentral:rRNA from 1 species
CCUACGGGAGGCUGCAGUGGGGGAUAUUGCACAAUGGAGGAAACUCUGAUGCAGCAACGCCGCGUGAGGGAAGAAGGUUUUCGGAUUGUAAACCUCUGUCCUCAGGGACGAUAAUGACGGUACCUGAGGAGGAAGCUCCGGCUAACUACGUGCCAGCAGCCGCGGUAAUACGUAGGGAGCAAGCGUUGUCCGGAUUUACUGGGUGUAAAGGGUGCGUAGGCGGCUCUGCAAGUCAGGUGUGAAAACUAUGGGCUUAACUCAUAGAUUGCACUUGAAACUGUGGGGCUUGAGUGAAGUAGAGGCAGGCGGAAUUCCCGGUGUAGCGGUGAAAUGCGUAGAGAUCGGGAGGAACACCAGUGGCGAAGGCGGCCUGCUGGGCUUUAACUGACGCUGAGGCACGAAAGCGUGGGUAGCAAACAGGAUUAGAUACCCCGGUAGUC